rnacentral:tRNA from 1 species
AUGGUUGUAGCUCAGUGGUAGAGCACCUGCCUAGCACAUCUGAGGCCCUGUGUUCAAUCCUCAGCACCCAUA